GGGUUCUAGUCUUGGCUCCAGGAGCAGAGUAUUUUCUAAUGAACAGCACAGUGGUUAUAGCUAAACAUGUACAUUCUCAUUUGGAAAGAUUCUCAAGUAAACCAGUGGAGGCAUAACUCACAAACAUUAUGCAGUCAUGGAAUAAGAAGCAUGGAAGUCUUUUAGGAAGAAAGGUAAAAAAGGAUGAAAAUCUGCCUUGAACGAUGACCGUAUGUCCUGGCAUGAGGUGAUGAGCGUAUAGUGCAAACAACAAAGGACCUUUGCAACAUUUAUUUUGUUACAUCUAUUAUUUGAU